ensembl:lncRNA
AUGACUGUCUAUCUCUCGAAUACAUUUUUCUGUUAUCUAUCUAUCUAUCUAUCUAUCUAUCUAUCUAUCUAUCUAUCUAUCUAUCUAUCUAUCUAUCUAUCUAUCUAUCUAUCUAAUACAUUUGAGAUUUUUCUAUACAUAUAUUUGUGUCUAUAUUUCUGUCUGUCUCUCUUUCUGUUUAUAGAACUGAGGUGUUGUCUUGUUAGUGUCUUGUUCUGUACUUUUUUUGCAGCAUCCCAGACUUUCGUUCAAGCAGCAGAACAUGUAGCAGGAAUCUGGAUGCUGUAUGGACGCAGUGCACUGUAUUCUCAACCACACAUACAGCACAAACUCCAACCACCAUGCCGCCUGUCACAGGCUAACGAACACCACCUGUCACUCACCCCAUGCGGGGGCUGUCAAUCAAAUCAAACCCCAAAAGAGAAAGAGGAGUGGGCGGGCCCAGUGCAGACCCCUAACAAAGGCAUCCUCCCAUUGUAAACAUAUUUUAUGACGAUUUGAGGAUUCCAGCUGACCUUGAUGUGUAGAAGUAACACUAAGCUGGUAAGUACUGGCACUUUUUUCUCUGAUCCUGCAGUUGUUGAUUUGUAUUGAUUAAUCUGGUUGAUCUGUUUGGUUAACCACAACACAAACCAUGAGGAUUUUGACGGGAGUAGUUCCAGUAGAGUGAAACAAAAUUGAAUUGAGCUCUCGGGAGAAAUCUCCACUCACACCGAUCUUGAUUUCUCUGCUUUCUCUGUGGUGAAAGACUGGAAAAGCUCAUCUCUUAUCUGAAGUAUGUCGGUCUACUAUCUCCCACUGUUCUCCUCUCGGCAAAUGACUGGCAUCCCAUGAGCAAACAGUCUUAACUGGACCUGUCAGAACAUAAGUACACCUGUAUUGUGUGCGAGAAGAGAGGAAAGAGAGGAGAACGCAGAGUGUGUGAGGAACAUGAUAAUCACAGCCCUGAGCUGCUUAUCUCCAGAGAUGCAGCAUAAGCUUUGCUCUUUGCGCUCUGUUUUGACCAUUGUGCUAGUUGAGUAAAUUUGCCCUUGGCCCGAGGGGAUCUGAACCCCACCCUGCUUCCAAACUUAUCUGUCCGUCUGUCAGCCCUUCAAAUGUCUCACACCUUCACAACCUCACCAUACAAAAUCUUAAUAAACAUUUCCAAAUAAAAGGUGAUGAAAAAGAU